AUUGAACGCUGGCGGCAUGCUUUACACAUGCAAGUCGAACGGUAACAGGCCGCAAGGUGCUGACGAGUGGCGAACGGGUGAGUAAUGCAUCGGAACGUGCCCAGUCGUGGGGGAUAACGCAGCGAAAGCUGCGCUAAUACCGCAUACGAUCUGUGGAUGAAAGCGGGGGACCGAAAGGCCUCGCGCGAUUGGAGCGGCCGAUGUCAGAUUGGGUAGUUGGUGGGGUAAAGGCCCACCAAGCCAACGAUCUGUAGCUGGUCUGAGAGGACGACCAGCCACACUGGGACUGAGACACGGCCCAGACUCCUACGGGAGGCAGCAGUGGGGAAUUUUGGACAAUGGGCGCAAGCCUGAUCCAGCAAUGCCGCGUGCAGGAAGAAGGCCUUCGGGCUGUAAACUGCUUUUGUACGGAACGAAACGGCUCUGGUUAAUACCUGGGGCUAAUGACGGUACCGUAAGAAUAAGCACCGGCUAACUACGUGCCAGCCGCCGCAGUAAGAC
rnacentral:rRNA from 1 species